GGUGGUGUGCACCUGUAGUCCCAGCUACUUGGGAGGCUUAGGCGGGAGGAUUGCUUGAGUGCAGGAGGUCGAGGCUGCAGCGAGCCACGAUCAUCAUAUCACUGCACUCCAGCCUGGGUGACAGAGUAAGACUCUGUCUCAAAAAAAGAAAAAAGAAAACCAUCAGCACCACUUCUAAUACUUUCUGCCAAAGGGGCUGAAAACAAGAAUCUGCUCUGUCAGGGAUCUGGGUCACUAAGAAUGAGUGGGUGAAGAGGAAGGAGGAAAAACCAAGACAUGACAACCUUUAGAGAAGCAAAAAUAAAACUCUAAUGUGGAAACUGCUGAAAAUAGACUGCCUGGGCUGUCAGACUGCAUGCAAAUCUGAUGCUAAUCACAUGGAAAUUAAUUACAAGUCCUAACUUCCAUAUGUCUCGAUAUGACCCUUGGGGGAAAACCUGCUGCAGGUGUCUACUCCCCACCACAGAGGAGUGAGUGGAACACAGGCUUUGAUGUCGCCUCCUUCAUACUCAGCUCUUGCCACUGCAGUGAGAGGAGGCUAAAAAUAUUAACAAUAGAAAUUUGAUUUCUUCUUUCAGACAAAAAGCGUUGGCAUCCACGGGAGGAAGAAGUGUUCAGGCAGCAUGUGACUGGUUAUUCUCCCACGUUGGUGACCCCUUCCUGGAUGACCCCCUGCCCCGGGAGUACGUCCUCUACCUCCGUCCCACCGGCCCCUUAGCACAGAAGCUUUCUGACUUUUGGCAGCAGUCGAAGCAGAUCUGCGGGAAGAACAAGGCACACAACAUCUUCCCCCACAUCACACUCUGCCAGUUCUUUAUGUGCGAGGACAGCAAGGUGGAUGCCCUGGGGGAAGCCCUGCAGACCACGGUCAGUCGCUGGAAAUGUAAGUUCUCAGCCCCGCUGCCCCUGGAGCUCUACACGUCGUCCAACUUCAUCGGCCUCUUCGUAAAGGAAGACAGUGCGGAGGUCCUCAAGAAGUUUGCUGCUGACUUUGCUGCAGAGGCUGCAUCCAAAACCGGUGAGCA
rnacentral:sRNA from 1 species